rnacentral:rRNA from 1 species
GACGAACGCUGGCGGCGUGCUUAACACAUGCAAGUCGAACGGUGAAGGGAUCAGCUUGCUGGUUCUGGAUGAGUGGCGAACGGGUGAGUAACACGUGAGUAACCUGCCCCCUUCUUCUGGAUAACCGCAUGAAAGUGUGGCUAAUACGGGAUAUUCUGCGCCUGCUGCAUGGUGGGUGUGGGAAAGAUAUUGUUUCGGUGGGGGAUGGGCUCGCGGCCUAUCAGCUUGUUGGUGGGGUGAUGGCCUACCAAGGCGGUGACGGGUAGCCGGCCUGAGAGGGGGGACGGUCACACUGGGACUGAGACACGGCCCAGACUCCUACGGGGGGCAGCAGUGGGGAAUAUUGCACAAUGGGCGCAAGCCUGAUGCAGCGACGCCGCGUGAGGGAUGGAGGCCUUCGGGUUGUGAACCUCUUUCGCCAGUGAAGCAGGCCUGUCCCUUGUGGGUGGGUUGACGGUAGCUGGAUAAGAAGCGCCGGCUAACUACGUG